rnacentral:rRNA from 1 species
GUAGUCCACGCUGUAAACGAUGAGUACUAGGUGUCGGGGGUUACCCCCCUCGGUGCCGCAGCUAACGCAUUAAGUACUCCGCCUGGGGAGUACGCACGCAAGUGUGAAACUCAAAGGAAUUGACGGGGACCCGCACAAGUAGCGGAGCAUGUGGUUUAAUUCGAAGCAACGCGAAGAACCUUACCUAAGCUUGACAUCCCUCGGACCGGUGUUUAAUCACACCUUCCCUUCGGGGCUGAGGUGACAGGUGGUGCAUGGUUGUCGUCAGCUCGUGUCGUGAGAUGUUGGGUUAAGUCCCGCAACGAGCGCAACCCUUGUCUUUAGUUGCCAGCAUUCAGUUGGGCACUCUAGAGAGACUGCCAGGGAUAACCUGGA